AAUUCUUUGGGUCGAGGCUUAUGAGGUGUUCACGAGUCUAUGAAAGACCACAGGGACCGCAUGAUAAACGUGACAAAAACAGCAAGAUGCUUGGACAGUGUAAAAUGUGGUACAUUUUAAGCUUUGAGAGUUUACAGAAUUUAAUUUGCGGUGUCACCAAGUUGUCUCCCAAAACUAAGGCUUGUGUACGGUUCUGCUGAUCUACACACCAGGCUUGUUUACAAUCAGAGAGAUCUCAAGUUCCUUACGUUACAAUCUUCUGGUGAAGUUCUCUGCCGAUCCCAUUUCCAAAGUCUCUCACGAUGCUACAAGUCUUCUCGUACUCUUCUUCAUUCAGAAAGGGCCUUACUGCAAGAAAGAAACC